rnacentral:rRNA from 1 species
UACGGAGGGUGCAAGCGUUGUCCGGAUUUAUUGGGUUUAAAGGGUGCGUAGGCGGUUAAUUAAGUCAGUGGUGAAAUCCUGGAGCUCAACUUCAGAACUGCCAUUGAUACUGGUUGACUUGAGUACAGACGAGGUUGGCGGAAUUGAUGGUGUAGCGGUGAAAUGCAUAGAUACCAUCAAGAACACCGAUUGCGAAGGCAGCUAACUAGGCUGUAACUGACGCUGAGGCACGAAAGUGUGGGGAGCAAACAGG